AUGAAAAUAAUUCCAUUCCGUAUAUUCGAACAGGCAGUAACUAAAAUAAAAAAUAAUACAACAAAAAGAGAACUGUUUUUUAUAGAAAAGAAAGGAAGAAAAUAUAUACCAUUUUAUGAAGAAAAAAAUAAAAAAACGAAAAAAACAGUAAUCGAUGAAAAUGUAUCAAAUGUUAGUGUUAACACAAAUGAAGAGGAUGAAAAAAAAAGUACAACAGCUACAACGACAGAACAGGUGCUGUAUACUAACGUGAUGCCUCCUAUCUCUCCAAUGAAAGGACUUAAGUUACUUUUAAGUUUUAACAGUGGAGGGAUUUUUAACAGUGGAGGGAUUUUUAACAAUGAAGAGAUUUUUAACAAAAAUGAGAAAAUUGAUUAUAUUGUUAAUAGUAGUACACAAAGUCUGAUUCCUAAAGAAAAAAAAGUUUCACUAAAUUUAAUAAUAAAAAUUGAUAUAAAAAGAGAAUCUUUAAGAGGUAUGUGUAAUUUAAUACAUAGUGUUGAUAAGAACAAAAAGAUUUUAGUUUUAGUUGACGAAGAUCAACAUAUUUUAAAAAAAUGUGGAGCUGAUUAUGUUGGGUUAGAGUAUAUUAACAAAAUAAAAAGUGGAUGGUUAGACUUCGAUAUAUGUAUAACUAAUUAUAAAAACAUAAAUAAAAUUUUAUCAAUUGCGAAAAUUUUAGGACCUAAAAAAUUAAUGCCUAAUGUAAAAUCAAAUACAUUAGUAGAUAAUAUUAAAGAAACUGUUAUAAAAAUAAAAAGUGGCAAUACAAUUGAAUAUAGAAGUGAACCAAUAGAUGAACAAACAUAUGAUUUGUAUAGUAACAUUUAUAAUUUUUCAAAAAAAAAUAAAAAUUCAAUAGCUCAUAUAAAUGUUCAUAUAGGUUCUACACAUAUGAAUUUUAUACAUAUACUUGAUAAUAUUAAAAUAUUUGUUUCAGAAAUAAUUAAAAGUAAUAUUCAUUCAAGUCAUACUACUACAGAAACUAAAUCCACUUUUGUUUGGCCUCCUAUAACAUCUAAAAAAAAUAAAAAAUCUUUUUUUAAUUCACAAAAGGGAAGUAUAUUAAGUAGUAGCAAUACUAGUGAUACAUUAGAGUCGUUUAUACUUGGUGGAUACCUAACUGUUCCUAGUUUACCCAAAUUUUUUUUGGAGGCACCACUAUUGUAUCCACAUUCGAGUGGUUAUAGCAAUUGA
rnacentral:lncRNA from 1 species